ACAGGGAUUGCCCCAGUAACGGCGAGUGAAGCGGCAACAGCUCAAAUUUGAAAUCUGGCCCCCAGGGCCCGAGUUGUAAUUUGCAGAGGAUGCUUUUGGCGCGGUGCCUUCCGAGUUCCCUGGAACGGGACGCCAUAGAGGGUGAGAGCCCCGUCUGGUCGGACACCAAGCCAGUGUAAAGCUCCUUCGACGAGUCGAGUAGUUUGGGAAUGCUGCUCUAAAUGGGAGGUAUAUGUCUUCUAAAGCUAAAUACCGGCCAGAGACCGAUAGCGCACAAGUAGAGUGAUCGAAAGAUGAAAAGCACUUUGAAAAGAGGGUUAAAAAGUACGUGAAAUUGUUGAAAGGGAAGCGUUUAUGACCAGACUUGGGCCCGGUGAAUCAUCCAGCGUUCUCGCUGGUGCACUUUGCCGGGCUCAGGCCAGCAUCAGUUCGCCGCGGGGGACAAAAGCUUCGGGAACGUGGCUCCCUCGGGAGUGUUAUAGCCCGUUGCACAAUACCCUGUGGUGGACUGAGGUUCGCGCUCCGCAAGGAUGCUGGCGUAAUGGUCAUCAGCGACCCGUCUUGAAACACGGACCAAGGAGUCGUCUUCGUAUGCGAGUGUUCGGGUGUAAAACCCCUACGCGUAAUGAAAGUGAACGCAGGUGAGAGCUUCGGCGCAUCAUCGACCGAUCCUGAUGUUCUCGGAUGGAUUUGAGUAAGAGCAUACGGGGCCGGACCCGAAAGAAGGUGAACUAUGCCUGUAUAGGGUGAAGCCAGAGGAAACUCUGGUGGAGGCUCGCAGCGGUUCUGACGUGCAAAUCGAUCGUCAAAUAUGGGCAUGGGGGCGAAAGACUAAUCGAACCUUCUAGAGCUGGUUUCCGCCGAAGUUUCCCUCAGGAUAGCAGUGUUGAACUCAGUUUUAUGAGGUAAAGCGAAUGAUUAGGGACCCGGGGGCGCUCUUUAGCCUUCAUCCAUUCUCAAACUUUAAAUAUGUAAGAAGCCCUUGUUGCUUAAUUGAACGUGGGCAUUCGAAUGUAUCAACACUAGUGGGCCAUUUUUGGUAAGCAGAACUGGCGAUGCGGGAUGAACCGAACGCGAGGUUAAGGUGCCAGAGUAGACGCUCAUCAGACACCACAAAAGGCGUUAGUACAUCUUGACAGCAGGACGGUGGCCAUGGAAGUCG
rnacentral:rRNA from 1 species